rnacentral:rRNA from 12 species
CCCGAAACUAAGUGAUCUAACUAUGAACAGGUUGAAAUUAAAGCGGUAACGCUUUUUGGAGGACCGAACUCGUGUAUGUUGAAAAAUACUGGGAUGAUUUGUGGUUAGGGGUGAAAGGCCAAUCAAACUUAGAGAUAGCUGGUUUUCUGCGAAAUCUAUUUAAGUAGAGCGUUUAAAAACUUUAUUAUAAGGUAGAGCACUCAUUAAAUAAGGGAGGCGUAAAGUUUUACCAAAUUUAUUGAAACUCCGAAUAUUUAAUAAAAGAAUUUAAGCAGACAGACUAUAAGUGCUAAGAUUUAUAGUCAAGAGGGAAACAGCCCAGAUUACCUGUUAAGGCCCUUAAAAGUGAUUAAGUGGAAAAGAAAGUAAAAAAAUUUAAACAACCAGCAGGUAGGCUUGGAAGCAGCCAUCCUUUGAAGAAAGCGUAACAGCUCACAGGUUUAAUUUUUUUGCAUCGAAAAUGUAAAGGGACUAAAAUCACUUGCCGAAACAGUAAAUUUAAAAAUAUUUUUAAAUGGUAGCAGAACGUUCAGUAUUAUUAACAAAGGUUUUUGGUAACAAAAACUGAAGAUAUCUGAAUUGUCAAUGUUGAUAUGAGUAACAAAUAACAAUGUAAAACAAAUCAUUGUCAUCUUAAGUUUAAGGUUUCCAAAGGGAAGGUUAAACCUCCUUGGUUUGAUAUAUUAAACGGCCUCUAAGAAAAAAUCGAAAGUUUUUUUUGAUGAGUAAUACAAGUAAGAUUCUUUUUUAAUUUAAAAGUGACGAAAUAUAAAGAUUAUUUUUAUUCAUAAGGUAAGAAUAAAAGUUUUUUAGUAUUUUCAAGAAAUAGCUUUAAAUUUAUAAUAAAAUGUUGAUAUAAUGGUGUAAUCACACUAUUUUUAACAAUAUUUUCCUGUAUAAAAACCGUACCGUAAACCGACACAGGUAAACGAAUUGAGUAAAUUAAGAUGUUUGAGAGAAUUGUAUUGAAGGAACUCGGCAAAAUGACUCCGUAACUUCGGGAUAAGGAGUAACAUUUAGCGGGUUUAUUAAACCCGUUAAAUGCUGACACAAAAUCGAGGACAGCGACUGUUUAAUAAAAACACAGGUCUCUGCAAAUUUGUAAAAAGAUGUAUAGAGGCUGACGCCUGCCCGGUGCUGAAAGGCUAACGAAAAAAGUUUUGGCUUUGAUCUUAAAUCCCAGUAAACGGCGGCUGUAACUCUGACGGUCCAAAGGUAGCGAAAUUCCUUGGCAUUUAAUUGGUGUCCUGCAUGAAUGGCGUAACGACUGUCCUACUGUCUCCAGUACAAACUCAGUGAAAUUAAAAUUUCCGUGAAGAUGCGGAGUACUUACGGCUAGACGGAAAGACCCCGUGCACCUUUACUAUAAUCUCGUAUUGUAAUAAAAACUUUUAUGUGUAGCAUAAGUGGAAAGUUAUUACUGUUUUUUUACGCAAGUGAAUUAUUUAAACUUCAAUGAAAUACCACUCUUAAAACCUUUUAUUACUAAUAAAAAAACAUUGCGUGAUGGGUAGUUUGACUGGGGCGGUCACCUCCUAAAAUGUAACGGAGGUGUACAAAAGGUAAGUUCAAAUAGAAAAAAAAUCUAUUUUAGAGCGUAAUAGUAUAUUGCUUGCCUGACUGUAAGAUUAACAGAUCGAACAGGAACGAAAGUUGGUUAUAGUGAUCCGAUGAUUCUGUGUGGAAAAGAUCAUCGCUCAACGAAUAAAAGGUACGCCGGGGAUAACAGGCUAAUUACUCUCUAGAGACCCUAUCGACGGAGUAGUUUGGCACCUCGAUGUUGGAUUAUCGCAUCCUGGAACUGUAAGCGGUUCCAAGGGUUUGGCUGUUCGCCAAGGAAGGCGGUACAUGAUCUGAGUUUAGAACGUCGUGAGACAGUUUGGUCCCUAUCUACCGUAAGCAAAAAACCUAAAAGGAGUAGACUAUAGUACGAGAGGACCUAGAAAAGUGAAUCUAUGGUGGAUCGGUUGUUGUACCUACUGCAUGCCGAGUAGCUACAUUCAUAAUAUAUAAUCGCUGAAAGCAUUUAAGUGAGAAUUUAGCCUUAAGAGGAUUUAAAAAAGACGUGAAAGAACAUCACGAGAUAGAGCUU